GGCUCGUUGGUCUAGGGUUAUGAUUCUCGGCCGGUGAGAGGUCCCGGUUCAAAUCCGGAUGAGCCC